rnacentral:rRNA from 1 species
CGUAGGUGGCAAGCGUUGUCCGGAUUUAUUGGGUUUAAAGGGUGCGUAGGCGGCCUUGUAAGUCAGUGCUGAAAUAUCCCGGCUUAACCGGGAGGGUGGCAUUGAUACUGCAGGGCUUGAGUAAAGUUGAGGUUGGCGGAAUUGACGGUGUAGCGGUGAAAUGCUUAGAUAUCGUCAAGAACACCGAUAGUGUAGACAGCUAACUAAGCUUUAACUGACGCUGAGGCACGAAAGUGUGGGGAUCAAACAGGAUUAGAUACCCUGGUAGUCCACACUGUAAACGUUGAUGACUCGCUGUUGGCGAUAUACAGUCAGCGGCUUAGAGAAAUCGUUAAGUCAUCCACCUGGGGAGUACGCCGGCAACGGUG